rnacentral:rRNA from 1 species
UACAGAGGUCCCAAGCGUUGUUCGGAUUUACUGGGCGUAAAGGGUGCGUAGGUGGCGAGGUAAGUUCGAUGUGAAAUCUCCGAGCUCAACUCGGAAAUGGCAUUGAAUACUAUCCCGCUUGAGGGUCGGAGGGGAGACUGGAAUUCUCGGUGUAGCAGUGAAAUGCGUAGAUAUCGAGAGGAACACCAGUGGCGAAGGCGGCCGACUGGGCCGACCCUGGACGCUGGAGGCGCGAAGGCGUGGGGAGCGAACGGG